AUUGAUUGAUGGUGCUUGCACCUGAUUGAUUUUGGUCGCCAACGAGUGGCGGACGGGUGAGUAACACGUAGGUAACCUGCCCAGAAGCGGGGGACAACAUUUGGAAACAGAUGCUAAUACCGCAUAACAACGUUGUUCGCAUGAACAACGCUUAAAAGAUGGCUUCUCGCUAUCACUUCUGGAUGGACCUGCGGUGCAUUAGCUUGUUGGUGGGGUAAUGGCCUACCAAGGCGAUGAUGCAUAGCCGAGUUGAGAGACUGAUCGGCCACAAUGGGACUGAGACACGGCCCAUACUCCUACGGGAGGCAGCAGUAGGGAAUCUUCCACAAUGGGCGCAAGCCUGAUGGAGCAACACCGCGUGAGUGAAGAAGGGUUUCGGCUCGUAAAGCUCUGUUGUUAAAGAAGAACACGUAUGAGAGUAACUGUUCAUACGUUGACGGUAUUUAACCAGAAAGUCACGGCUAACUACGUGCCAGCAGCCGCGGUAAUACGUAGGUGGCAAGCGUUAUCCGGAUUUAUUGGGCGUAAAGAGAGUGCAGGCGGUUUUCUAAGUCUGAUGUGAAAGCCUUCGGCUUAACCGGAGAAGUGCAUCGGAAACUGGAUAACUUGAGUGCAGAAGAGGGUAGUGGAACUCCUGGUGUAGCGGUGGAAUGCGUAGAUUUAUGGAAGAACACCAGUGGGCGAAGGCGGCUACCUGGUCUGCAACUGACGCUGAGACUCGAAAGCAUGGGUAGCGAACAGGAUUAGAUACCCUGGUAGUCCAUGCCGUAAACGAUGAGUGCUAGG
rnacentral:rRNA from 2 species